CAAUGCCCUGUCCCUCCUGUGUUUCUGAAUGCCACCACCUCUGAGAAGGGCUAUUUGCUUCACGGUAAGACUUGGAGUGGGGGGGGGGGUCACUGUUUUCCCCCCCAACCCAAGAAAUGAUCCACAGAGAGCAGCCAAGACUUGAAAUGCCUUUAAUCCUUCCCUGUUCAAAAUGAUCUUGGGAAAAAUAAAACUUUUGAACCGAAAGGGAAUCAGGGCAUGAUGAUGAAAAGAACAAGAGCUCCAAAGUCAGACAGAUCUGGGCUGCAACCCCACUGUUUUCUAGCUGUGCGAGUACCUGACACAGCCUCUGAAACAGGAGCUGAAUAAGUGACAGCUAAUAUAGUUAACAAAUAUUUAACAUAAAUAUUACAAAUUAGGAAACGAGGGCUCAGAGAAGUAGUGCCUUGCCUAAGGUCACACAGCUAGGCAGCAAAAACCUAGCACCAUACCAUAUCUCAGGGUCUCUUGACCCCUUCCCUCUCCUGCCCCAUUCAGCAUGUGUUCUGUUGUAAUUCACUUCUCUGCCUGUCCUUUCUCCUCCCGGAGGGCCUACAACACAUCAAGGGAAAGGAAAAGUUUCCAUUUCAAAAGUCUGCUGUUCCACAGACUGUGAGAAUGACAGGUCCCAAGGCUGAGUCAGCCUUCACACUCUCACACACUUUCUUCAUACAAAUACAGGCAUGCUUGAGGGGUUAAGAACUUGGAGUUAAGCUGGCCUGGGCUCCAGACCAACCCAAACCACCACGCUCCUUUAGCCCCUCGCUCCUCCAGGAGGAAACAGUGUCUCUCCUGUCAACCACUCAAGUUACCAACGUGGAUGUGCCUGGUCAUUUACUCUAGUUAAAGACCCUUGGAACCUCUGGUCGCCCUUGAUCUUCACAACGACCUGGCCAGGCAGGAAAGAGGACACGGCCUUGGGUUAGAAAUCCAGGGAUUGUGUCCUUUGCCACUUACUUGCUAAGUGACCUCAGGCAGGUCACAACCUGGGGCUCGGUUUCCUUAGAUGUAAAAUGGUUACAUCAAUACCACCUGCUAUUCUAACCCACAGGACCAUUGAGAAGAUCGGAAUUAAAUACUGUACACGCAAGUGCUUUGGAAACAAGUUACAAUACUAAUGAGAAUUACUACUAAACUCCACUUGCCUUACAGGGCUAAAGAGAGUUGUGCCAUCUGCUUCCAGCACAGAGGCUGCCUCUCAGGGGAUCCUGCUGGGCCCCAAGGGUAACCAAAAGCAGCCCAGUACCCUUCCAGCCCAGAAGCAGGAGAUGGUAAUCACAAGGUUAGCCAUCCCCUGCUGGGCAAAGGAAACUACUCUUUAAGUGGCAUUCCCCUGCCCAAGCAGGGAAGAAACAAGCUCAGUCAGACCACUCAGAGAGCAAAGAGACGGCAGGCAGGGUCACUAGCAGAGGAUAAGGGAUAGGCCCAGCCUGGCUGCGGGAUUCAGGUACACAUAUAUGGACUCACAGGGACAGAGGAUGGGCCCAAAGCCGGCACAGAACCCCUACAGCUUUCUCAGGGCAGGGAGAGGGCUUCCACCAUCAACAAGUGUCAGCCCCCAGAGGGAGUCCUAAAAUCCCGGAAGGCAGGUGCAGUGAGCUGGGCUCCCACCCCGUGCAGGGGCCCGGGCAUCUGCUGAGGAGGACGUGAGGGGCAGGAGAUGCAGCUGCACCCUGAGAGGAGACUGUGCCAAGGCGCAAACAGAAGAUAAAUGGCAAUGCAGCAUCACAGCAGAUAACCCCUUUGGGCUGUUUCCUCAUCCUUGAGACAGAGAGCCUUUAUCUCAUAGGAUGAUAGUAGGAAUUAAAUGAGAUUACUUUUAUAAAGUGCCUGACACCACUCUGUAGAUACUCAAUAAAUGGUAAUUCUUACUAAAACACACAACCCCCCCCCCCCAACAGAAGAGAUGUCACAGGGCAGGCUAGGCCUAAUGCCAAAGUUGUGGAUAAACAAUAAGGGAUACGGUUUUAGGGGAGAAAUGAAAGCAACGGCUGUGGGCUGGAGUGGGCUGGGAAGACCGCCCAAAGUGGAGGAAUCUGAACAGGCCCCGAAAGCUGCCACAGCACGUUGGGCUCUGUGCUAGCAUUCCCACGUCUGGUCUCUACAUCGAUCCUGGAAGGUAGAGAUGGCAUCCUUACCUUCCCGAUGAGGCAAGUCAGGUUCAGAGAAACCAGGGGCCUGGUCACACAGGUACCGAGGGGCAGGGGCAGAGCCCAGGCUUUUGUGACAACAUCUGUCCUUCCCACCAGAGCUGGAGGGGCUAGGUGGGGCGGGAAGGAGAGGCAGGGUGCACCUCAUGGGUGUUCAGCUGAAGGAAGUGCAGGCGAUAUGACCAACAGAGGCCCUCUAAGUGUCCUGGAGCCUCAGGACACACAUGUCCUACCUGAAGCUUCUUCCCAGUCCCCAGAUGACCUCCCCUCCCACUAUCCUGAAGUCACUCAGCUGUUUUCCCAAAGAGGAAAAGGUCACCUUUUUCUUUUUGGAGAGUUCCAUCUGGGCUUCUAGAGACAGUUUCAAGGUGACCUUUAAGUUGUUCCUCUCUCCUUCUGAGAAGGGAGAGAGGGAAGUUCUAGUCUUACACAGGAAACCAGUUGCUGGGUCUGAUAUCCACGCACGUGAAGUGGGCAAUAAUGAUCCCCAUCUCCCCUCCUCACGGGCUUGCUCUAAGGAGGAAAUGGCAGAACACACCUUGCAAACACCAAAACCAGAAAAAGCUAUAAGAUGUGAAGGGACAAAGGAAGGUUUUUUGGUCUCUGAUGAAUACCUGCUUCACAGGCUGCCAGGAGUUCCGGAUCCGGGAUAUGCGUAAACAAACGCACGGGGUGCCAGUGGUGAGCUGGGUUACAGUGAGGUUCUCCCUUGAAACAGGCACUGGACUGGGAGCCAGGUAAACAGAGACAACGCGGAAUUCAUGCCGGGUCCAAACCACAAUGGGAGGCGGAGGUGGGGGAGGGGAAUGGGCCUACCUAAGGCUUGGAGUCAUUCUCAGAGUUCUCCCAAUAGUCUAACCCCAACUCACGUCACGAGCCCCUCCUCACCAAGGAAAAGGCAAGAAUCCCUGGCUUUCAGAGAGAGAAAAAAGGCCCAGAGACCGGAAGUGACUUGCCUAAUGUGACCCACUGAGUCACUUAGAAAAGAAUCCAUUAGCAUCUACUCUAGAACUUCAGCUCUAACCCCACCCUUCCCACACGCAUCUCCGACAGUAUCUACCUGAGGCUCUGCUCAAUGAUUAGGACAGGAGUGAGAAAGGCGCACUUCAGCACCUUCUAUUUUUAAAGGAGGGGUAACUUGCAAGGGAAGCAGCUGCCCCAGAUGACAGAAUGAGGCCUCCAACAUGGCUCCUACCCAUGCUGGGGUCUGAGAGAAUAGAUAAGACCCCAAAAUGAACUCCUAGGCUCCUGGGUAACUGAUAGUACAGAGGGAGCAUGGCCUCGGCACACACCCCAUCCCCCAAGUCUGUUGGUGCCAUGUCCCCUCCCCACAGGACCUGCUCUGGAGGCAGCUUAAGGGAAGGAAGAACAAAGUCAGUAGGACUGACUUUCAGUCCUUCCUGAAACCUUACGGAGGGACUGCUGUUGGCAGCCUAGGUUGAGAGAUUUGUAAUCCUCCAGCCUCAGAGGAAGACUGUAGGAGGCGCUGAGGCAGGGAUGCAUUUACCUUAGGUGGUUAAAAUACCAACAGGAGCAGCUGCAACUCACUGAGCGCUUCCUAUAGGUACAAAGCCAGCUUUACGUGCGUUGAUUUAUGUCAUCAUCACGCCAGCAGCAUUAUAGCUAGAUACUAUUGUUUCCCCCUUUUUAUAUUUGAGGAAACUGAGGCUCAGAGAGGGUGUGUGGCAGAGUGGUGCCAACCUCAAUCCAACACUGCAAAGGGGAAGCUCCCCGGUGGCCUAGUGGUUAGGAUUCGGGGCUUUCAACUGCCGCAGCCCAGGUUCAAUCCCUGGUUGGGGAAAUGAGGUCCCGCAGGCGGCGUAGCCAAAACAACAAAACAAAACAAAACAAAAACACUGCAAGGUAAAGGGAAAAAUGGGCUUUCACUUUUUGCCACCUGAACUGGGACCCUUAAGAUCUUUUGGCCAUCUUUCUCUCUACCCUCUUCCCAGGAUGGCCAGAUGCUAGGGCACUCCUGUUUUCAGAGGCAGAAAAUUGCCCUAUCAAGCCAGAGACACAGUCUCUUGGAACUACAAAUGCCCUCGGAGAUCAUAUCCAGCCUCCUCACUUUACGAUGAGAAAACUGUGGCCCAAGGGUGAGUGACUUGCCAGGGUUACCCAAGUCAGUGGAAUGGCAGAAAUGUCAGACCUGCAAGAGGCCACAAAGAUCAACUGACAAGUGGAGAGGCAUGACUGGCCCAAGGUCACAGAGGGAGGUGGUAUAAGAGGCCACGUUUCCUAACUUCUAGACUGAUACCCUUGUCAUGGUACCACCUCUGCCAGCUGCCCAGGGUCCCGGGCACAGUUCUGGCGGGGACGAAGCAGGCCAAGCCUGACCCCAUCAGGAUUAGAGGUAAUCAGUCCUGCAGAGACAAACUCCUGACUCUCCAGAGUAGGGUCUUCGUGGUCAUGCUGUCGACCCACCAGAAGGCACUGAGACCCACAGCGUGUGCACUAGCCUCGAACGCCCUAACACAAUGCCAGGUGAGGGGGUUGGAGAGAGGAGGGCAAUGUAUAAAUAGUGCUUAUGAGGCCUCUUCCUGGUCUCACACAGGCAAAUGACACAUCAGUCACUUCAGCUUCUCACCAACAAAUUAAGACACAGGGUUUCACGAUUCAAUUGAGACGCUUGCCAGUUUCACAGAUGGGCGAGACCUGCAGAAAAAGGCCCCAGCUUGUUCAAGGUCAUGUAUUUGUCAGAAUCAGUACACAUGGCUCCCCUUGCCCAGGCCUCGAUUUUUUUCCGGGAAGCUGGCUGCCAUCAGGGGAUAGGUGCUGGUGGCCCAGCUCCAUGUGCAGGCCUGCUACCGUCACAGCACCAAAGCCCCGUAUCAGGAAGCCAGCUCCUGGAUCAAAACAGAAGCACGAGUGCCCUCCUGCAGCAUGUCCCAGAGCCUGCCUCAUACCAGCCUGGCAUCGCCACUGAGCUCCUGCAUGUCCUUGGGAAAGCUGCAAGGCUUCCUGCCAAGAGUCACAAACUCUCCAAACCCAAACCAGCAGAGUUCCAGGCCCCCGUGCCUUCCACAGCUAGCUGGGGGCUAGAAAAGCAAAGGCAGCUUUCAAACCCCCCCACCCCCUGCCCCCCGGACACCACUUCAAGGGGCUUCUAGGCUAUGCAGGCUCUGGUGAGCUCCAUCAAUCAGCCAGCAGAACAGAGUGCUCGGGCCUAGCAGGGUGAUAAUCCUCUGGAAGGGAGCAACUUUUCUGCCUCCUUCUCCCAAAAGGAACGUUUCAAAGUCUCUUCAGCUCAGAACAUGCUGAGCUCCUCCACCUGUCCCUCUCCCUCUUGGAUGAGCAGCAGGCAGGCCAACAUGACAGCACCUUGAGACACAGCUGGGUGCAACCUGGAGAUGAGCUGGGGCCAGACCAAGCCUGACCCUCCUCCACUCUCCCUCCACCCCCAAACCAGACUUCAGGAAUUCCCAAGGCCCCCGUCCCAUAAACUGUAUAAGGAAUGGCAUUCCCAGGCAGGAAACUGACUCAGGGGCUCCUGAGCAGCCUGGGCAGGCAAAGCUGACAGAUAACACUCUGGGGAUGAAGGAAGGUGAGGAUAUGGGGAUGCCUCAUCUUCCCCCACACCUGUAAGUCUCCAGCACACAGGUCCCCCACUACACUCAAACUCCUUAGACAAACCAAGUAAAAACAGCCUCCAUCCUGGAACACCCUCCCAUGAAGCAUGUAAUUACGCUGGUCGCUGUGGACAGAGCGGACUGUGCCACUUGCUGAAGACACUCCUGUCUCACACAGCUGGGUGCCUGGCUCCCCUCGGGGUCUGUCCCAGCCAGAGGAGACUUGCCAGGCCUGGAAGCCUCGCUGAAGGUACCUAGUACCUGAAGCAUCCCAUCCUCUGGUCCUGCUCUCUCCCACGAACAACGCUGGCUCCAAUCUUAGGAGGCCUCAGACCACAGAGGCCACGGAGCUCCAGUUUGAGAAGGACCACGAUGAUGGGAUAGAGCCUGCCUACUUUACAGCAGUAGUCCAGACCUUUAUUCCUAGGCAGCCUCAAGUGGUAAGGAUGGUUCAAGAAGCUCAUUAGUUUGGUGGCGGCGGAAGCGUCGGGGGCGAACUGCACUUACCUAUCUUCAUAAGGCAGGCCAGCAGGAUCCAGAGGGAGAUUUCGAAGGGUGUGCGCACGUGUGUGUAGUCGAUGCCCAGGACUGGAAAGACCUUUCGAGAUUUCAGGCUGUGUUCAGUGAAGGAAUGGUUAACAGGGCGGCUCUCGGGGGCGAGCUCCGGCGGGGCGGUGGUGACCUCCCCAAUGGAGCGUUCCCGUGGCGGCUCUGAGCCUCUGAUGGUGCUGGCAGUAGGGCUGGGCUGGAGGCCAUGGCUUCUAAGAACGGGUAGCAGCCCCACCAAGGCUACUGCCACAAGCAGCGAAGGGAAGAUUCGAGGCGGAGAGAGGCCACAGACACCAGACCAGAGAAGCAUCCUGCUGCCACCCUCGACCCUUAGCAGAGUGAGAGUAAGACCUGGGACAUAGGUGGCAGGGGGUCAGCAGUGGGGAAGAGAGACUGGGGGAGUCUCUAAGCAAAGUUCAUGUUUUAGAGAUGUGUUUUUGUGGAAGCAGUCCUCUGGAAGUGGAGGAAGGCUGGGUUCACGAUCUAGAACUCCAAACUGGGGAAGAGGGACAAGGACUCAGGACCGUAAGAGAAGACCAAAAAGGUCUGGAACUCCAGGCCUGGGAAAGGGGGUGGGGGAGGGGAGAGACUGCACCCUAGGGACAGAGGAAAGGACAGGAUGGGUUGGAUCCCAGGCAAGGAAAAGGAAAAGGGAAGGUGGGGACCCUCGGCUGCGGAAAGUGACUGAUGAGCUGGGACUCGGCUAAGGUAAGGGGCAGGGAGCCUGAGCUAAAGGAAGGGGAUCGAAGGGGGUGAGACCCAGUCCAGGAGAAGAAGAGAGGGGGCUGAGAGCCCAGGCUGCAAGGAAGUGAAGCCAGAAAGCGGCAGGGAGUUUCCCCACCCAAAGAAGGACCGGGUGCAGGCGCGCCGGGCUGAGAUUCCGGGGAAAUGGAGGGAGGCGGAAGGCGGAGGCAGGCGGCCUGGCGAGAGGGCGCCUUGGCGCGCGCUGAGGGUGGCUCGCGGUGGGCCAGCAGCGAAACGCCCCUCCUUGCGGCCCCGGCGCGGUGCUGCGCUGCGCCCUGGCCCAGCUUCUGGUCCUCCGCGUCCAGCUCCACUUCCAGUUGCAGCCCCGGCCCCAGCCCCGGCGGCGGCGGACUGCUGCCUCUCCAAGCCCGGCGCUGCCACUUAUAGGCACCAGCGAGCAGCCGGUGCAGCGGGCUAGAAGGACCUGUCAGCGCCCGCUCAACGCAGCGACCCCUGUCUCCGAGGAAAGGAAGUAUCGCGUCGAAAGAGGAGGGAGAGUCAGGGAUGGCAAAAAAAAAAAGUCUGGAAUCUACAGAGAUUCUGACUAACAUGAGUAAAAUGCUCUACUAUUUACAAAGAGCCUUCAUAUCCACAUCCACAUCCACAGUCUCUUGGAGACUCCCCAAUAAUCUUGUGAAGGAUGUAUUAUUAUCUUAUACAUUUAGUUACCAUGUGAUCUUGAGCAAAUUACUUAACUUCUCUGUUGCACAGUUUUCUCAUCUGAAAAAGUGGGGAUAAUGGGAGUACCUAUAUCUGCUGAUCUGCUGUAGUAUAGUAUAUGUGAUGACUAAAUGAGAUAAUCUAUGUAAAGUGUUUAGAAUGGAGCCCAGCCUAUAGAACAAUUAUUAUGGUUCCACUUUUGCAGAUGAGGAAACAGGUAAAGAGAGUUCCUUAACUAGUAUGUAAAUAGUUAUAUCGGUUUGCUAGGGUUACUGUAACAAAGUACCACAAACUGGGUGGCUUAAAGAACAGAAAUUUACUGUCUCAUAUCCUGGAGGCUAGAAGUCUGAAGUCAAGGUGUCAGCAGAGUUGGUUCCUUCUGAGGGCUGUGAGGAAAAAUCUGUUCCAUGCGUGUCUCCUAGCUUCUGGUGGUUUACCAACAAUCUUUGGUGUUCCUUGAUAACUCCAGUCUUCACGUGGUGAUCUCCCUGUGUCUCUGUCUCUGGGUCCAGAUUUCCCCUUUUUAUAAGGUUUCCAGUCACACUGGAUUAGGGGCCCAUCCCAAUGACCUCAUCUUAACUUGAUCAUUUUCAAUAACCCUAUUUCCAAAUAAGUCCACAUUCACAGGUGCUGGGGGUUAGAACUUCAACAUCUUUGUGGAGGACACAAUUCAACCCACAGCAGCAGUGGAACUGAGAUUUGAACAUAUAGUGUUGGUUGAAAUUUGUAAGAUUUGAGAGAUCCUGACCAUACACUGGAAUCCUUGGAAAGCUUUUAAACACUACCAUUGCCUGAGACCUUCAGAGGUCCAGCCAUUUGGGAGAUGACAGAAGAGCCUAGAAAAGCCUUCAGAGAAAUCCAAGGGCCUUGUGUCACCUGGAGCAGAUGAAAGGAGAACAUCAGCUAUAAUGGAAAUAACCAAAGAGAGGAAAAGCAUUUAGGACAAGGAUCAGAACAACGACAAUAUGCCUCACAUGGUUCGGUCCUUUAUAGUUUACAACCAAGUGCCCCAGGUUUAUCAAUGAUCCAAGUCCUGGUGCUCAAUAAAUAGUAGCUAUUAUUCUCAUUUCCAUUUCACAGAUGAAAAAACUGAGGACUCAGAGACAUAAAGCCAUUUGGCCAAGAUCACACAGCUAUUAGGUAACAGAUCCAGGACUUAAGUCAGUUUUCUAACAUCUUAAUCCAGAGCUCUUUCAAAACACCACAGGUUCAGUGUAGAAAAAAGGAGGCAAAGGUGGGGCUAGUGGAGGGAAUUUAUGCAGGUGACAUGGGCCAGAACCCUGAGACCUACAGCCCUUUCCAGUCUUCUUUUUUUUUUUUUUUGCCAUGCCGCGUGGCUUGUGGGAUCUCAGUUCCCAGGGAUUGAACCCAGGCCACGGCAGUGAAAGUGUCAAAUCCUAACCACUAGACCAUCAUGGAACUCCCAGUCCUUUCCAGUCUUGAGGUCAACAUUCACCCAUGCACUCUGAUCCUCCUCACUCUCUGACUCUCCCUCAUUCUGGUCCUCAGUCAGUCCUUGGGUGCCAGCCUUGGAGGUAGCAGAUCCCAUGAGAACCAGGACAUAGCAGCCCUAAGAUCCUCCACAGCCUGGAGAAGGUUGUAUCAACAUGACAGUGCCAGGAAAGAGCCCUUGGGACAAACCACCUGGGACAGCCCGUGGCCAAGGCCCGGCCUAGACCAGGCAGUAUAGCAUAAGAAUUAAGACUAAGAAUCUAGCCAGAUUGUCUAGGUUCAGAUCCCCACACCACCACUCACUAGUUAGAAGACCUUGGGUAAAUCAGUCAACCUCCCUGAUUCACUGUUACUUCCCCCAUCACAUGGAAACAGUAAUGCCAAUCUCAUGGGGCUGUUCUAAGGGUCUUAGCCAAGGUACAUAUAGAACUCAGGGCAGCAGCCAGCAAGUACCACAUAUAUUUACCAUCCUUAUCUUUAUUUACAUGUACUGAGGGCCUCAAAUGUAGACUUUCUGUGUUAGGUCCACAUGAAGUUAUACAUUCAGACACAGAAACACAGGCUAGAAAGAAGUCCCUCACAUCUGUGAAACUGGUCCCAUCAUCAGACUACUCCCUCUGUGGAUGUGAGCUCCAGGAGAGCAAGAGAGCCCUAAUGAAUGAAUGAAUGACAGGGUAUAUUACUUGCACAUGAGAAAACUAAGGUUCCAAGGAGAGAGUCAGUUGUGGCCACAGAGCUGGGAAGAAGGGGAGCCAGGACUUCCCAUUGACCAAAUCCAAGCCAAGGCUAGAAGGCAUAGAGCCGUUGAUGACCCCCAUCCAAGUCAGCCAACCAGGGGAGAGGAAGGAAGGAGUAGGUCGAAGAAUGGACCUGCUGGUCCACAUGCAGGCUAUCUGGCACGUUUUAAAAUUGACAACAGAAACGUUCAUCUUAGGGACUUCCCUCGUGGCACAGUGGUUAAGAAUCCACCUGCCGAUGCAGGGGACACAGGUUCGAGCCCUGAUCCAGGAAGAUCCCACAUGCUGCGGAGCAACUAAGCCUGUGCGCCACAACUACUGAGCCACGUGUUGCAAAUACUGAAGCCCGCGUACCUAGAGCCCGUGCUCCGCAAGAGAAACCACCACAAUGAGAAGCCCGUGCACCGCAACGAGCACUAAAUGCAGCCAAAAAAUAAAUAAAUAAAAUUAAAGAUACUGCAGUUUAAAAAAAAGGAAAAUAAAAUGAAGGAAUGGAUAUAGAUCAAACUUUUAAAAAAAACAAUAAAAUAUUCAUCUUAAAUGUAAGGCAUUGCAAAGGAUAUACUUGCUAGCAUAUUGAAAAUAUUUUAAAUAAAACUGUUCCAUCAUCAGUUGAAUGUAAGUAUCAUCAUGGUUUGCUACUCACUGUUAUUCAUGUCAAGAAAAUAUCAGCACAAGCUGUACAUUAGCAGGCAGAAAUGCUACAUCAUUAUUUGUUUUCUUUUUCAAUGUAUAGUUACAUUUUGCUUCCUCUCACAGAAUGUUCUCCUAGGGUAAUAUAUUUUCUGCUGGAAAGUCUGUUAUUGAUUACCUAAUUCAUACUCCCAACAGAAAUUUAUAUAUAUGAUUGCACUUUAAGAAAUUUUGAAAUUUAAAUAAUUUAAAAUUUCCUUUGACUCUAAAGCUCUAUGUUUUAAAAUUUCUUCUGGAUUGAAAUAUCACUUUUUAUUGUAUUAGUACACAAUUGAUCAAAGC